rnacentral:tRNA from 1 species
GGGGGUAUGGCGGAAGUGGUAGACGCUACGGACUU